UACGGAGGGGGCGAGCGUUAUUCGGAAUCAUUGGGCGUAAAGGGCGCGUAGGCGGCUUCAUAAGUCUUGGGUGAAAGCCCUCGGCUCAACCGAGGAAUUGCCUUGGAUACUGUGAAGCUCGAGGCUGGAAGAGGACAGUGGAAGUUCCCGGUGUAGCGGUGAAAUGCGUAGAGAUCGGCAGGAACACCCAGGGGGAAACCAGUCGACUGGGCAGCACCUGACGCUGAGGUGCGAGAGCGUGGGGAGCGAACCGG
rnacentral:rRNA from 1 species